rnacentral:rRNA from 1 species
GACGAACGCUGGCGGCGUGCUUAACACAUGCAAGUGGAGCGACGAACCAGGCUUCGGCCUGGGGCAGAGCCGCGAACGGGUGAGUAACACGUGGGUAACCUGCCCUGAUGAUCGGGACAACCCGGGGAACCCGGCUAAUACCGAAUGUGCCCGCGAGCCGCAAGGCUUGCGAGGAAAGGAAGCUUCGGCCUCCGCAUCGGGAUGGGCCCGCGGCCCAUUAGCUUGUUGGUGGGUAACGCCUACCAAGGCAGCAAUGGGUAGCUGGUCUGAGAGGACGAUCAGCCACACUGGGACUGAGACACGGCCCAGACU